rnacentral:rRNA from 1 species
CUCUUAUCCCCCUCAUUAUAAGUACAAUCUGCUCCAUGUAAUAUAAAUAGCCGCAGAAUAUUAACUGUGGUAAGGUAGCAUAAUCAUUUACCUUUUAAUUAAAGGUUUGUAGAACGAUUUAACAUUUGGAUACUUUUUUAUUAAGCUAAUUUGAAAUUAAAUUAAACAUAAAAAUGUGUUUAUUUCUAAAAAAGACGAUAAGACCCUAUUGAACUUAACUUAAGUUAAGCUGGGGAAGCUAAUUAAAUACAAUUUUAAUUUAAAUAAAAAUUAAGAAAUCUGAAAAAAUCAAUUAUGAAUAAGUUACCAUAGGGAUAACAGCGUAAUAUUUCUUUAAAGCUCUUAUUAAAAGAAAAGGUUGCGACCUCGAUGUUGAAUUAAAAUUACUUUAAAACGCAAUAGUAUUAAAAGUGGGUCUGUUCGACCCUUAAAUUUUUACA